GUAGGUGGCAAGCGUUGUCCGGGAAUUAUUGGGGCGUAGAGCGCGCGCAGGCGGUUCUUUAAGUCUGAUGUGAAAGCCCACGGGCUCAACCGUGGAGGGUCAUUGGAAACUGGAGAACUUGAGUACAGAAGAGGAAAGCGGAAUUCCACGUGUAGCGGUGAAAUGCGUAGAGAUGUGGAGGAACACCAGUGGCGAAGGCGGCUUUCUGGUCUGUAACUGACGCUGAGGCGCGAAAGCGUGGGGAGCAAACAGGAUUAGAUACCCUGGUAGUCCACGCCGUAAACGAUGAGUGCUAAGUGUUAGGGGGUUUCCGCCCCUUAGUGCUGCAGCUAACGCAUUAAGCACUCCGCCUGGGGAGUACGGCCGCAAAGGCUGA
rnacentral:rRNA from 1 species